rnacentral:lncRNA from 1 species
CUGGAUUGUUACUGGAUUGUUGGGAAGGGGUGGUGACCUCUGGAUUGUUACUGGAUUGUUGGGAAGGGGUGGUGACCUCUGGAUUGUUAGUGGAUUGUUGGGAAGGGUGGUGGCCUCUGGAUUGUUAGUGGAUUGUUGGGAAGGGGUGGUGACCUCUGGAUUGUUACUGGAUUGUUGGGAAGGGGUGGUGACCUCUGGAUUGUUACUGGAUUGUUGGGAAGGGUGGUGACCUCUGGGUUGUUACUGGAUUGUUG